AUCACUUCUAGGCCUUUUGGCUAAGAUCACAUGUAUUAUCUGUUCUUACAAGUUUAAAGAAAUAGGAAUCAAUAACAUUUGAGCUAUAAAUUAUAGCCAAAUGAUUUUAUUAAUUCACAUUUA
ensembl:snRNA U2 U2 spliceosomal RNA